rnacentral:lncRNA from 1 species
GCCGCCGUCACCGCCCUAGACGCGGCAUCUGCAAACGUCGUCCCUGCCAGGUACGGCACCUUGACGCUCACGACGUGCGUCUGGCCCCCUGAGCCGUAGCUGGGCUUGUACGACACGAGAGGGCGCCCCGGCGGUAGCCGCGGCUGCAUGCCUGCGCCUGAUGGCCCUGUGGUGGCGGCGGCGGCUGUGGCCGGCGGCCAGUUAUCCAUCCCAUACAGAGCGGGUCCGAAGUCCAGCCGAUGGGCCCGAAGACGCGUGGGCGCCGGGCUUGUAGUUGAGAUGCGUGUGACUUCCGGCGGCGGCGCCGCCGCCGGGGGCAUGUCUCUAGCGCCGUACAAACGCCAUCCCACACGUCCACCAUCGACGCCACCGC